CCCUUAGAUGUUCUGGGCCGCACGCGCGCUACACUGCUCGACGCAGCGAGUCUUAACCUUGACCGAAAGGUUUGGGUAAUCUUCAGCAAAGUCGAACGUGAUGGGGAUCGAUCAUUGCAAUUAUUGAUCGUGAACGAGGAAUUCCUAGUAAGUGCAAGUCAUCAGCUUGCGCUGAUUACGUCCCUGCCCUUUGUACACACCGCCCGUCGCUACUACCGAUUGAAUGGUUUAGUGAGAUCUCUGGAUUGACGCUGGCUAGGGGGCGACCCUUGGCCAGACUGCUCGAGAAACUGCUCAAACUUGAUCAUUUAGAGGAAGUAAAAGUCGUAACA
rnacentral:rRNA from 1 species